GCCGGGUCUGGAGAAAAGCUGAACUCAGACUCGAAUUGUCAGUGCAUUUCCCCACCCGCGUCCCCCAGUCGGCGUUCUUAAAGAAAUCACACCCUGAAAACAGUAGCAAAGGUUGCUCACGCUGCUUUCUGGCGAACCAACCCGCUGAACGAACUGCGCUGGGGAAGGAAAACGACGUGAACAGAUGCAAAGGUCUCAGAACUACAAAUUAAGCAAACUGAAAACCUCAACAAGAUAAAUGCUUUGGGGAGAACUUGCAGAGGAUGAAGAAAGACCUAGAGGCGUACAAAAACAAUGUAAUAACUGCCAUGGUCUCAAGAAGAUUCUACCAAUUCUGUUUCCUAAUAUGUUAAACAAUGAUAAACUUACACGCCUGCAGUAUGUAAAUUUACAGGCCUAUAUCCCAAAACAUCUUUAA